rnacentral:rRNA from 1 species
UACGUAGGGGGCAAGCGUUAUCCGGAUUUACUGGGUGUAAAGGGAGCGUAGGCGGUAUGGUAAGUCAGAUGUGAAAACCCGGGGCUCAACCCCGGGACUGCAUUUGAAACUAUCAGACUGGAUUGCAGGAGAGGUAAGUGGAAUUCCUAGUGUAGCGGUGAAAUGCGUAGAUAUUAGGAGGAACACCAGUGGCGAAGGCGACUUCCUGGCCUGUUCUUGACGCUGAGGCGCGAAAGCUAGGGGAGCAAACGGG